UAAUACUCCAUAGAUUAGAGACACUGGAAUGUUCUUUAGUCGAAAGUUCUGGCGCCUUAGGAUGGAUCUGCGGUCGAUUAGGUUGUUGUUGGGGUAACGGCCCAACAAGCCUGUAAUCGAUACGGGUUGUGGGAGCAAGAGCCCGGAGAUGGAAUCUGAGACACGAUUCCAGGCCCUACGGGGCGCAGCAGGCGCGAAAACUUUACAAUGCAGGAAACUGUGAUAAGGGAACUCCGAGUGCCCGUAUACGCGGGCUGUCCAGGUGUUUAAAAAUCAUCUGAAGAAAGGGCCGGGCAAGACCGGUGCCAGCCGCCGCGGUAAUACCGGCGGCUCGAGUGGUGGCCACUAUUAUUGGGCUUAAAGCGUCCGUAGCUGGACCGAUAAGUCUCUUGGGAAAUCCGCCGGCUCAACCGGCGGGCGUCUAAGGGAUACUGUUAGUCUAGGGACCGGGAGAGGUGAGAGGUACUCCGGGGGUAGGAGUGAAAUCCUGUAAUCCCCGGGGGACCACCGAUGGCGAAGGCAUCUCACCAGAACGGCUCCGACAGUGAGGGACGAAAGCUGGGGGAGCGAACCGGAUUAAAUACCCGGGUAGUCCCAGCCGUAAACUAUGCGCGUUAGGUGU
rnacentral:rRNA from 1 species